rnacentral:rRNA from 1 species
UCCCAAGGGCGGCAGCCUAACCAUGCAAGUCGAGCGGUAGCACAGAGAGCUUGCUCUCGGGUGACGAGCGGCGGACGGGUGAGUAAUGUCUGGGAAACUGCCUGAUGGAGGGGGAUAACUACUGGAAACGGUAGCUAAUACCGCAUAACGUCGCAAGACCAAAGUGGGGGACCUUCGGGCCUCAUGCCAUCAGAUGUGCCCAGAUGGGAUUAGCUAGUAGGUGGGGUAACGGCUCACCUAGGCGACGAUCCCUAGCUGGUCUGAGAGGAUGACCAGCCACACUGGAACUGAGACACGGUCCAGACUCCUACGGGAGGCAGCAGUGGGGAAUAUUGCACAAUGGGCGCAAGCCUGAUGCAGCCAUGCCGCGUGUGUGAAGAAGGCCUUCGGGUUGUAAAGCACUUUCAGCGGGGAGGAAGGCGGUGAGGUUAAUAACCUCAUCGAUUGACGUUACCCGCAGAAGAAGCACCGGCUAACUCCGUGCCAGCAGCCGCGGUAAUACGGAGGGUGCAAGCGUUAAUCGGAAUUACUGGGCGUAAAGCGCACGCAGGCGGUCUGUCAAGUCGGAUGUGAAAUCCCCGGGCUCAACCUGGGAACUGCAUUCGAAACUGGCAGGCUAGAGUCUUGUAGAGGGGGGUAGAAUUCCAGGUGUAGCGGUGAAAUGCGUAGAGAUCUGGAGGAAUACCGGUGGCGAAGGCGGCCCCCUGGACAAAGACUGACGCUCAGGUGCGAAAGCGUGGGGAGCAAACAGGAUUAGAUACCCUGGUAGUCCACGCUGUAAACGAUGUCGAUUUGGAGGUUGUGCCCUUGAGGCGUGGCUUCCGGAGCUAACGCGUUAAAUCGACCGCCUGGGGAGUACGGCCGCAAGGUUAAAACUCAAAUGAAUUGACGGGGGCCCGCACAAGCGGUGGAGCAUGUGGUUUAAUUCGAUGCAACGCGAAGAACCUUACCUGGUCUUGACAUCCACAGAACUUUCCAGAGAUGGAUUGGUGCCUUCGGGAACUGUGAGACAGGUGCUGCAUGGCUGUCGUCAGCUCGUGUUGUGAAAUGUUGGGUUAAGUCCCGCAACGAGCGCAACCCUUAUCCUUUGUUGCCAGCGGUUAGGCCGGGAACUCAAAGGAGACUGCCAGUGAUAAACUGGAGGAAGGUGGGGAUGACGUCAAGUCAUCAUGGCCCUUACGACCAGGGCUACACACGUGCUACAAUGGCAUAUACAAAGAGAAGCGACCUCGCGAGAGCAAGCGGACCUCAUAAAGUAUGUCGUAGUCCGGAUUGGAGUCUGCAACUCGACUCCAUGAAGUCGGAAUCGCUAGUAAUCGUAGAUCAGAAUGCUACGGUGAAUACGUUCCCGGGCCUUGUACACACCGCCCGUCACACCAUGGGAGUGGGUUGCAAAAGAAGUAGGUAGCUUAACCUUCGGGAGGGCGCUACCACUUUUGAUACGG